rnacentral:piRNA from 1 species
UACGUGCAAAUCACAGGGCAUAUGAUGAUGGC